UGGGGAACAUGGUCAGUGUCCUGCCAAUGUAGAUGUGCGAGCACUUGGACAGUCCCAGAAAACAAAUUUCACACCCUUUUCAUCACUGGUCCGCACGCUGGUCUACAAUCUCUUCCCACUGGCCGACUACUUCACCAGGCAGCGACAAGACAACGAUUGUUAUCCAACAUGUGAGCGUUAAAAAAAAAAAGUUUGCUUUUUACUCUGCAAAAAAAAUAAAACUUGUCUGACUUCA